UACGGGGGGAGCAAGCGUUGUUCGGAUUUACUGGGCGUAAAGGGCGCGUAGGCGGUCAGCACAAGUCAGUUGUGAAAUCUCCGGGACUUAACUCGGAAAGGUCAACUGAUACUGUGCGACUAGAGUGCGGAAGGGGCAACUGGAAUUCCCGGUGUAGCGGUGAAAUGCGCAGAUAUCGGGAAGGACACCCGUGGCGAAGGCGGUUCUCUGGGACGGUACUGACGCUGAGACGCGAAAGCGUGGGGAGCGAACAGG
rnacentral:rRNA from 1 species